GUAUUAAUUUUGCUGCAAUAGUUAGUCAAAAUACCUUCUUUGGUAUCAAUGAGAAAUAUGAAGCUUGAUUCCCAGUCAGGACUAGCCCUGUUAAUUACAUUACUUGAUAAUGACUAACCGCCAGGCUGGAAUCUUAAAAGCUAAGGUCUCUGUUCUCAUACAUCUGUUGUAUGGAUGUGUAGGUGCUAAAUGAAGGAUCAGGUUUGAUUAUGGAUAUAGUCAAGUAGUGUACAUUAGUAAAACUUAUUGAAUUAAAAAGUAACUGAUGUUUUUGUGCAGCUCAUGGUAGGUUGAGGGGAUUGGUGGUUGCAGAGGAAGACUUAAUAGAACAGUUGUAUUUGGUACUCUCCUAACAAUAAACUUGUUGCUGCAGAGUUGACCCUCGAUAAAUCAGAAUGACACUCCCUUCGGUCCUUGAUUGAUUGACACAUUGGUUGCUUGCUGUUCGACUACUUUAACAGAAUUAAGAGAAGGAAAUAGAUUAUGGUUCUUACCGAUAAUCAUGAGCUUAUUAGAGGUCUGCACCUGUGGAAAUCAAGUCUAAAGAAUCUUAGCUGUCCACAGUCCUGGACUGUCAACACUAAGAAUAUUAAGGACAAUCCAUUUGGUCUGUGCUUGCAGAAUUUUACCAUAACAAGCAUCAAUGCCUUCAAGAGGCAACAAAAAAAUGUGGAAAUUAAAAAAAGAUCAGAAUUAGAAGAAAAUUACACUUUAUCUUCCUCCCUAAUUUUUUCAAUAGGCCAGAUGAGUUUGCAGUACCUAUAUCCAUCACCAGAGGGUAAAAAUUUGUUUACAUUUUUGGUAUUGGUAGAAACCUGUUGCCUCACGCUGCAAGACAGGGUCAGCAUAGCGAGUAACCACAAUCUAUUUCAAGUAGAGAAAUCCACUAAGCAAGCUCAGAGACACCAAAGGGAAUAUCUUCCAGCUUACGGAGAAAUUGCUGAAGAAACUCAGCAGAUCUGGCUGUGUCUGUGAAGAGAAAGCAGAGUCAAGAUUUCAGAACCAGUAACCCUUGGAGAAGGGUAGGCAGAGGGAAAGCCGUCUCCACUCUCGGAAAAGGGUCCCAGCUUCCAUCUUCGAUAUUGAAGUUAUUCAUCCCUGGAGUCAUUACAGGCAAUAAGUUCUACACACACUCAAAUGUCAUAACCACAGAUCAUCCCCACUCUGGUCACCAAGGACAUAAUCAAAUCUUUGAUUUCAACAUAAGACAUGGAGCAGAAGUCAGCCAUUUAGCUCAUCAAGUUCACUCCACCAUUCAAUCAUGUGUUUUUUCAAAAAAGGACAACUGAUAGAGCGGAGAUGAUGACGGAUGCAAAAAUCAAUGGCUGUCUUGAUUGGAAUUCUGAAAUGUCACAUCCAUACAGAGUCUGGGAAACUUCAAACAGAAAGAUAAAGAAGAAUGGGAUAAUGAGGAUGAAUACCCAACCCCAUCUCAGCAAGCAGCCAUCUCCUGCAGACAGAAUGUGGACAUCACUGGCAUGGUCAACGUUUACUGCCUAUCCCUACCACCCUGGAGAAUCUGACACCAAGUUGCUCUCUGGAACCAAUGCAAUCUACUGAUAAUUGAUAUACUUACAGCACUGCUAAGAAUGGCCAUGAGAAAUAGCAAUAUAAUUCCAAAUCAGGAUGGAUGUGGCUCAGAGUCUCUUUCAGACGGUGUUCCCAUGUAUCUGCUGGCCUGGUCCUUCUAGGUUGCAGUACUCAUGGAUUCGGAAGGUGUUUAAAGAGCUUUAUAUAGAGUUACUGAAGGUUAGAUUUUUGCAAGAUGAACUGCUACCAUUGUGAACCAAUGGUAGAAACGAAAGCUUCACUUGAUAGAUUCGGUGCCAAGCUGGUACUAUUGUGAUAGGGAUUGAUGGUAAUACUUUAAAGGUGGAUGCCAGAGUGAAAUCUGGCUUAUAGAUCACACAUCUAAUUUUUGAGAAGAAAGCAGAGUUAACGUGGAGUCCGGCGACUCUCCAUAAAGUUCACAAGUAGAAGAGACCAUUUUUAGGCAGAUUACAGAAAUCUGCAAGACAAGUGGAGCUCUGAUAGUUGGUGAUUUCAAUUACCUUAGGGUGCUGAAUCUGGUCUUAGAAAAUGAGGCAGGCUCAGUGGAGAACGUCAGAAUGGGGGAGCAUUUAAAAAAUAGCGAUCAUGACAUGAUAAGUUUCAAUAUUAAUUUGGAAAAGGAUUUAUUUUUAAAAAAAAAAAAUCAGUCCAUGGUCAAGAUUCCAGACUGAAAAAGGGCAGAUUUUAGAGGUCUAAAAGUUCAAAUGGAGCACGCUGAUUGGAAGUGCUUUUUAAUGGAUAAAACAGCAGAUGGAAAAAUGGGAGAAUUUCAAAAGGGAGAUGAAUAGGGUGGAAGUUAGGUACAUAUCCAUGAGAAAUAAAUACGGGUUAUCCAAAUCUAGAGUACCCUGGAUGAUGAGGAAAUAAGGAAGUAAAAGGAGGCCAUGAAUUGCAUACCAGAAUAAUAGCCAUAGAAUCUGGAAGAGUAUCUCCAAUGCAGGAGUGAGGCUAAGAUUGGAAUAAGGAAGGCGAAGAGGAAGCAUGAGAAAAGAAUGGCAGGCUGCACGAAAACAAAUAGUAAAAUGUUCUUCAAAAAUACAUUAAAUGUGAAAGAUAAGUGAAGUACAGAGUGGUGAUAUAGUGAUAGAUUUUUUAAGAAGUGCUAAAAUGGCUGGUGGCAUUCCAGAUAGACAAGUCAUCAGGCCCACAUGGAAUGCAUCCUAGAUUGCUAAAACAGUUAAAGGAGUAAAUCGGGGAGCCAUCAAUAGAAAUUUUCCAGGCCUGUCUGAACAAAAGAUUAGUGGAGACUGGAUGAUCGCAAAUAUGAACCAUUGUUUAAGAAAAGGACAAAGGAUAAUCUAGGAAACUACAGACCUGUCAGCUGGACAUCAAAAGUGCGAAAGCUGGUGGAGGCCACAUCACAGGAUCAGCUGCAAAUGUUCUUCAGCAACACAACACAAGUUUAUGACACAAAGAAAACAAAAAGAGCGAGAAGACGGGGACAGAGGAAAAACAGGGAGACCGGCUAAAGAUCUUAAACACAGACAGCAAAACAUCUCAGCCGUUUCUCAUCACUAUAUUAAAAGACACAAUCCCAGAGCAAUUUCACUGUCACAGCUUUCUAAAUUUUGGCAUUGUAGUUUUCCUGUUGUUUUCCUUUGGAUUGUUGAGGUUGUUUAUUUUUGUUGAUUCAUUUCCAAGUCCAUUGACACAAUUCUUUCAAUUCUGAGAGCCUGAACUUUCUCCGUUCUAUCAAUUUGAAGAUUUCUAUCCAAACUCUCCUGGCUCAGAAGCUCAACAACAAACACUUCAGCUCAGGCAAGUGACUACCCUGAAAUGACUUGAUUUUCUGCUUGGAGAAACUGUUCUACCAUCUGAACUGAAUUCUAGUUUGAGUUUAGAACAGAAAGUCUCCAAAUUAACUGCCCUAAUAGGUUUACCGUGCUGGUCAUAAACUGCAAUAUACACAUUGUAUUAAUUAACACCACAGGGGUUCGCUCAGGCAGUCACAUGAUUUCUUAGAACUCAUUUAAGUCACUGCUCCAAAUGAACUUUAACCUUUUGGGGAAAAAACCUUCACAAAACAUAACCACAUCCAUCCGUACUUUGAAAUCUGAAGCCAACAAUAAUAAUAUCCCCUCCAAGUUGUGUGCAAGUACAGCCACUCCAAGGCUCUGUGCAUGGCAAUUAGCAUCAUCAGCUGAUCGCGGCACUCAUUUCUAGUUCUGAAAGCCACUGCUGCGCAAACACCUUGGAGGUUCACACAGCCAAAAAGAAAAUUAGAGAGAACACUAACCAUACACGUUUUCAACAAUGUAUCAAGCUUUGAGUAUUACUGCAGCUGCGCUCACCAGAUAAAUGGAGAAUUUUCCAUCACAGACUUUGUGUUUUGUAGAUGCUGGAUAAGCACUGAGAAGUCAAGAAGCGAGUUUUCACUGCAGGAUUCCUAGCUUCUGCCAUGUUCUUGCAGCCACAGUAUUUACAUGACUGGGCAUGUUCUAAUUCUGGCAAAAGGUAACCUUCAGAAUGUUGAUACUGCGGGAGUGAGCCAUGUUAAUGCCACUCAGUGUCAUGGGGAGAUGGUUAAAAUUUUAUUACCGUGGAUGGACAUUCACAGCACAGAAGUGCACAGCAAUGUUAUUUGCAACUUGUCAGCCACACACAAAUGUUGUCCAGAUCUUUGAGCACAUGGACUUUACUAAAGCCUUUGACAAGGUUCUGCAUGGUAGACUUCAGUAAAGCUAGAUCAUAUGGAAUUUAAGGAGAACUUGUCAACUGGAUCCAAAAUUGGCUCGAUUGUACGAGACAGAGGGUGGUGGCGGAGGGUUGUUUUUCAGACUGGAGGCAGGUG